UAAUGUGACAGCUCUUUUAGAAUUUGUCUAGCAGGCUUUCCGGUUUUUGCAGGAAAGUCCCC
rnacentral:snRNA from 1 species